CUACGGGGGGCUGCAGUGGGGAAUUUUGGACAAUGGGCGAAAGCCUGAUCCAGCAAUACCGCGUGCAGGAAGAAGGCCCUCGGGUUGUAAACUGCUUUUGUACGGAACGAAACGGCGCGCUCUAAUAAAGUGCGCUAAUGACGGUACCGUAAGAAUAAGCACCGGCUAACUACGUGCCAGCAGCCGCGGUAAUACGUAGGGUGCAAGCGUUAAUCGGAAUGACUGGGCGUAAAGCGUGCGCAGGCGGUUUUGUAAGACAGGCGUGAAAUCCCCGGGCUCAACCUGGGAAUUGCGCUUGUGACUGGAAGGCUAGAGUACGGUAGAGGGGGGUAGAAUUCCGCGUGUAGCAGUGAAAUGCGUAGAUAUGCGGAGGAACACCGAUGGCGAAGGCAGCCCCCUGGACCUGUACUGACGCUCAUGCACGAAAGCGUGGGGAGCAAACAGGAUUAGAUACCCUAGUAGUC
rnacentral:rRNA from 1 species